UUUAAAGUCUAGUCUGCCCGAUGAUUAAUUCAAUGGCCGCGGUAUUUUGACCGUGCAAAGGUAGCAUAAUAAUUAGCUUCUUAAUUAGAAACUUGCAUGAAUGGCUGGACGAGAAGGAGACUGUCUCUAUCUAAAUUUUCUAGAAUUUUAUUUUUAAGUUAAAAAGCUUAAAUAGGUUUAAAAGACGAGAAGACCCUAUAGAGUUUGACAUUAUACUAAGGAUGAUUUUUUUGGAAUUAAAAAUUUCUUUUAGAAUUAAUGUUUUGUUGGGGUGACAUCAAAAUAGAUAAAACUUUUGAUUUGUUUUACACUGAUUAGUGAUUGUUUGAUCCAUUGGUUGUGAUUAAAAGAUUAAAUUACCUUAGGGAUAACAGCGUAAUUUUUUUUUAGAGUUCUUAUCGAUAAAAAAGUUUGCGACCUCGAUGUUGGAUUAAAAUUUGGUACUGGCGCAGUUGUUGGAUAUCUUGGUCUGUUCGACCAUUAAAAUUUUACAUGAUCUGAGUUUAAACCGGCGUGAGCCAGGUUGGCUUCUAUCUUUUGGAAAGUACGGCAUUUUAGUACGAAAGGACCGAUUGCUGGUAAAAUUUAUUUUUAUUUGAUUUUUACUA
rnacentral:rRNA from 1 species